rnacentral:lncRNA from 10 species
GAGGGAUUAAACCUGCUAGUUUUGGAAAAAAAAAAAAAAAGGAAAGAAAAGAAAAGAAAGAAAGAAAAACAAAAAACAACAACAAACAGAAAAAUGCAAAACUGCAGAACACGCAGUGGAGGUUGGAUUCAGAGGACAUGGGGAUCAGUGUGGGCUGUGCUGGUCAAGGAGGGCUUCCAGGGAGAGGUGGGGAGGAAACAGGGUCCACCCGCUGCUGCACAAGAGGGGUGUGUGCAGACCGUCACCUUGUGUCUGCUGUAGCAGGAGACCCCUGGCCAUGCGGGACUGAACCCAUGAUUGCAGCUGAUCUUACUCUGUCUCUUCUCUGUGUGAGUAAAGUGUUGUUCCAUCUAGUGCCUGUGUGAG